rnacentral:rRNA from 1 species
UGCAUAUCAAUAAGCGGAGGAAAAGAAACUAACAAGGAUUCCCCUAGUAACGGCGAGUGAAGCGGGAUGAGCUCAAAUUUAAAAUCUGGCGGCCUCAGGUCGUCCGAGUUGUAGUCUAGAGAAUCGUUUUCCGCGUUGGCCUGUGUACAAGUCCCUUGGAACAGGGCGUCAUAGAGGGUGAGAAUCCCGUCCUUGACACAGAUUACCAAUGCUUUGUGAUGCGAUCUCGAAGAGUCGAGUUGUUUGGGAAUGCAGCUCAAAAUGGGUGGUAAAUUCCAUCUAAAGCUAAAUAUUGGCGAGAGACCGAUAGCGAACAAGUACCGUGAGGGAAAGAUGAAAAGCACUUUGGAAAGAGAGUUAAACAGUACGUGAAAUUGUUAAAAGGGAAACGAUUGAAGUCAGUCAUGCUUUCCGAGACUCAGCCGAUUCUGUCGGUGUACUUCUCGGUUGGCAGGCCAGCAUCAGUUUCGAUCUGUGGAAAAGGUUGGAGGGAACGUGGCAUCCUCGGAUGUGUUAUAGCCCUUCUUCGAAUACAUAGAGCGGGACUGAGGAACGCAGCGCGCCUUUUAUUAGGUUGGCCCUCGGGUACAUACGCGCUUAGGAUGCUGGCAUAAUGGCUUUAAACGACCCGUCUUGAAACACGGACCA